UACAGAGGGGGCAAGCGUUAUUCGGAAUUAUUGGGCGUAAAGGGCGCGUAGGCGGCUUGGCAAGUGGAUGGUGAAAUCCCUCGGCUUAACCGAGGAACUGCCGUCCAAACUGCUUCGCUUGAGACCGGGAGAGGUGAGUGGAAUUCCCAGUGUAGCGGUGAAAUGCGUAGAUAUUGGAAGGAACACCAGUGGCGAAGGCGGCUCACUGGACCGGUACUGACGCUGAUGCGCGAAAGCGUGGGGAGCAAACGGG
rnacentral:rRNA from 1 species